CUAAGCUUGACAUCCCAUUGACCUCUCCCUAAUCGGAGAUUUCCCUUCGGGGACAGUGUGACAGGUGGUGCAUGGUUGUCGUCAGCUCGUGUCGUGAGAUGUUGGGUUAAGUCCCGCAACGAGCGCAACCCUUGCCUUUAGUUGCCAGCAUUAAGUUGGGCACUCUAGAGGGACUGCCGAGGAUAACUCGGAGGAAGGUGGGGAUGACGUCAAAUCAUCAUGCCCCUUAUGNUUAGGGCUACACACGUGCUACAAUGGGUGGUACAGAGGGUUGCCAAACCGUGAGGUGGAGCUAAUCCCUUAAAGCCAUUCUCAGUUCGGAUUGUAGGCUGAAACUCGCCUACAUGAAGCUGGAGUUACUAGUAAUCG
rnacentral:rRNA from 1 species